rnacentral:rRNA from 1 species
CUUGCAACCAAUAAGAGGUCCAGCCUGCCCAGUGACUCUGUUCAACGGCCGCGGUAUCCUAACCGUGCAAAGGUAGCGCAAUCAUUUGUCCUUUAAAUAAGGACUAGUAUGAACGGCACCACGAAAGCUAUACUGUCUCCUUCCCCUAAUCAGUGAAACUAAUUUUCCCGUGAAGAAGCGGGGAUAAUUUUAUAAGACGAGAAGACCCUAUGGAGCUUUAAACACACAACAACUGUCACGGACCCCUCCUCUUCCCCGGAAGAAACUACUCACCCGAACAUUUUGAUUGCAAGUUUUAGGUUGGGGUGACCACGGAGCAAAAAAUAACCUCCAUAGUGAAUGGGAUUCUUCCCCCCCUUAAACCCAGGGCCACAACCCUAAGAAUCAAUAAAUUGACACCCAUUGACCCAAUACUUUUGACCAACGAAC